rnacentral:rRNA from 1 species
AAACCAACAGGGAUUGCCUCAGUAGCGGCGAGUGAAGCGGCAAGAGCUCAGAUUUGAAAUCUCACCUAGUGUGCGAGUUGUAAAUUGCAGGUUGGAGUCUCGGGUUAGACGUGUGUGCAAGUCCCUUGGAACAGGGCGCCACUGAGGGUGAGAGCCCCGUAGCGUGCAUGUCGACACCUGUGAGGCCCUUCUGACGAGUCGAGUUGUUUGGGAAUGCAGCUCUAAGUGGGUGGUAAAUUCCAUCUAAGGCUAAAUAUUGGCGAGAGACCGAUAGCGAACAAGUACUGUGAAGGAAAGAUGAAAAGCACUUUGAAAAGAGAGUGAAACAGCACGUGAAAUUGUUGAAAGGGAAGGGUAUUGGGCUCGACAUGGGAUUUACGCAUCGUUGCCUCUCGUGGGCGGCGCUCUGGGUUUUUCCUGGGCCAGCAUCGGUUUUCGUUGCAGGAUAAGGACAAUUGGAAUGUGGCUCCUCGGAGUGUUAUAGCCUUUUGUAGAUGCUGCGUAUGGGGACCGAGGGCUGCGGCGGACUCGUU